rnacentral:rRNA from 1 species
AACGAACGCUGGCGGCAGGCUUAACACAUGCAAGUCGAACGGUUGUAGCAAUACAGCAGUGGCAGACGGGUGAGUAACACGUGGGAACCUUCCUAGGGGUACGGAACAACUCAGGGAAACUUGAGCUAAUACCGUAUACGUCCGUGAGGAGAAAGAUUUAUCGCCCUUAGACGGGCCCGCGUCGGAUUAGCUAGUUGGUGGGUAACGGCCUACCAAGGCGACGAUCCGUAGCUGAUCUUAGAGGAUGAUCAGCCACACUGGGACUGAGACACGGCCCAGACUCCUACGGGAGGCAGCAGUGGGAAUCUUGGACAAUGGGCGCAAGCCUGAUCCAGCCAUGCCGCGUGAGUGAAGAAGGUCUUCGGAUUGUAAAGCUCUUUGCCAGGGACGAUAAUGACGGUACCUGGAGAAUAAGCCCCGGCAAACUUCGUGCCAGCAGCCGCGGUAAU